UAAUUUUUUAAACAAAAUUAUUCGCCAGAGUACUACUAGCAAUAGCCUGAAACUCAAAGGACUUGGCGGUGCUUCAUAUCCCUCUAGAGGAGCCUGUCCUAUAAACGAUAAACCCCGAUAGACCUUACCAACCCUAGCUAAUACAGCCUAUAUACCGCCAUCCUCAGCAAACCCUGANAAAGGAAAUAUAGUAAGCAAGAUUGUUAAAAUACAAAAACGUUAGGUCAAGGUGUAGCUUAUGAGUUGGAAAGAGAUGGGCUACAUUUUCUCAAAACAGAAAAAAAAACGAACAUUCUUAUGAUAUUAAGAGUUAAAGGAGGAUUUAGUAGUAA
rnacentral:rRNA from 1 species